GGGCUUGACUGGUUUUGACAGCGAGCAGAAGUGGUUUGUAAGCACGCAGUGCGUCGUUGUUUGGCACUUUAAUCUCAAAUGAUAACAGUUUAACUGGCGAAAAUACAUACGCUCUCGCAGCCUGACCGAAGUAUAGUAAGUCACAGCUUAAUUUCGGUUCAUGAAUCGAAACGAGACAUCACCCGGGAUUGUAGUUCCGAAAUUACCCGACAAGGUGGUGCAGCAAUAUCGGAAAUAGUCUGAGCGCCGUCCCUGUUCUCAGAUGAAAUUUUGGGAAUAAGCGAAGUACCGGUAGCUUUGGUCUUGUAUUUCGACGAAAAUUAAAGCAAAGAUAAGCGUGUAGAAAGCAAAUUAAUUCCUCGUUUGGACGAGGGUUCGACUCCCUCCAAGUCCACAG
rnacentral:tmRNA from 1 species